UUACCAGUAACAGGAACAACCACUAAUCGGGAAACAAUUAUUUUGACUGCAUGGUAUCUGUUUCCACUUUUUAAAAGAACUACAAUAUUUGUGUGUACUGUGAAGGAUGAGUGAAGGCUCUGCCAAUGUCCUAUCCACAAAUAGAUUCCUGGCCACACCUAGUCCGUUAGGACAAGCAGCCUUUGUAGAUACAGACUCAUUACGCCUGCCUCUUCGCAUAUAACAAGGAGAAGAAGAUCCAGCUACAUUAUAAGGCUUUUUACCAACCAGGCAUUCAAGAGAGAGUCCAGAAACAAAGCAAAAAACAACUUCAAGCAAAUGCCGUCAUUUGUCCAGGAUCAGGCUGUUCCUGCACAUUCAUCUUCACCAUCUUACAGAGCCCGAAUCAUGCAAGACUCCUUUGCUGUCCACUGCCUGAAGGUGCUGAAGGAGCUCCUGGCUUUUGUACUGUUCAGUUACACAGUGCUGUUUGGUGCCCUGCUGUUGGCUGGCUGGACCACUUACUUCCUGGUGCUCAAGUGACAGCUCCGCUCGCUCUCUACCUGCAGCUGAAAAGACGAAUAAACAUGACGACGGCCCCUUUUUAGUCCACAGACUAUGCAAGCUUUUAUUUUGUCAAAUUAUGAAUUAUCUACAACAAACCAAACGAUUUGUUCAUGUAUUUUACUAAUUUUUUUCUCAGGAGUGAACCUCUCACAGGAAUAAGAGCAAGGCAGAAUGCCAAGAUAAACACAGAAGCUGGCUGGUCAAGUUGUAACUUGCCCUCCUUUUAUCACCCUUAUAAACUCUGGCAUAGACUGCAAUCUUUCAAUUAGUUAGGGUAUGAUAUUCUCUAAAAUCACUCUAAUUGUCAGCUUUUACUUCUUCUUUUGUCUGAGGAUGUUAAUGAAAGAACCCUAGCUGUCUGGAGAAAGCGUGAAGAACUGUGCAAUGAUUCUGUUCCAAAAAGAUAAAUCAAUAAAAUAAAAAAAGACCUACCGGUCCUGUAUCAUCUCUGAUAUAUGUUUCAGAUUAGAAUGGUUUGUAUUAAUAUUUUAAUUUAAUUCUAUCCAAAGAGCAGGCUAUAAGAACUGAUAUAUCCAUCUGCUGUGGAAUCAAUUCCAUAAGUAAGUUACAGAGUGGGAUAUAAAAAUGCAGGGAUUCAACUGUAGGACUUGAUUUUACCCCUGAAAGCGAUCAUAUCUCUUUCUCACAAUAAUUGUGAUGUUUUAGGGGGAAAGGUAAGGUAUUGUAUUCUCUAGUUAAUUCUUUCUCAGAUUCCACAUUUUUAUGAAGAUACCAGAUUUUGUUAGGAUUCUUCAUCCUGAAUUCAACCCCACUGAAUAAUCAUAAAUCAACAUAAUGCAUAAAUCAACAGGCUUAAGAUCUGUUGUGAGUUCUGCUUUAAACAUGCUCUAACUUCUUGUGUUCACAAUCAAGGUGAUGAAAAAGAGAUAAUGGAUUCUUUUGCAAGUGUUUAGAGAUUGUUGAAUGUGCCUGUUUGUGGAAAAGAACCAGAGACAUUUCUAAAUUGAUUGGGAGGCUUUCUUUCCGUUUUUCUUCUAAAUAUAUUUCUCAAAAUAAUAAGUAUUUAGGGUCAUAUAUUUAAAAUAAUAAGUAUUUAGGGUUAUAUAUUCAAAAUAAUCAGUAUUUAGGGUUAUAUAUUUAAAUAAAUGUUCUUUAGCAGAGGUCUGUAUGUUCUUCUUAAAUUAGUGGCCCCAGCAUUCAGAAUGGUUUAGAUCUUCUGAUCUAGCUGGCAUGUUAAAAGUUUCCAGUUAUUAAAACAUAGCUACAAAUAAAUGGGCUCAUUGAUAUGUGUAAAUUAUGGGAACCACAAUGCCACACACAGUUAUGGGUACUUGUGGCCCACAAACAUCAGUAAACAGGCAUGGGAGUGCCUGGGUUGUGGUGAGAUGCUCCCCUAGAUGUAUAAGUGCCCUGAUCCAAUGAGACACUAGGAGUUUUGUGUGUGUGGAACAACUGCGCAAGUUAGCAUGGGGUUUGGAAAAGGGUUUGCCUAGGUCCAUGAUGGCAAACCUAUGGCACUCCAGAUGGUCAUGCACUCCAGAUGUUAAUUGGCUAUGCUGGCAGGGGCCAAUGGGAAUUGUAGUCCAUGAACAUCUAGAGUGCCAUAGGUUCACCACCACUGGCCUAGGUGCUGUUGUGAAGGCUGAGAGAGAGAGUCACCACAGUGUAAAGACCAUCUCUACAUGCCAAUUCAUGAGGUAUUUGCAAGAAAGUGGCUUUCUGUAUUUCAAAACCAUGGUUGCAACAGUUACCAACACAAGACAUGUUGCCACUGAAUCAGAAAGAUAAUUUUAUGUUCUAUUCAUUUUAAUAGCUACUUUCAAUGAUUAUUUGCUUCUCGUGUUUGUUUGAAUUUUUUUGCUAAUUUUAAAGAUUUCUGCCAGUGUUUAUGCUGCUGCUUGUGUUUAUUGUUACUACCGUUGUAAGCCACCUCUGAAAUAUUUGAUUGAGAGUGUGUGAUAUAAAUAUUUUAAAUAAUUAGAUAAAUAA